rnacentral:rRNA from 1 species
UGGGGAAUAUUGCGCAAUGGGGGGAACCCUGACGCAGCCAUGCCGCGUGAAUGAAGAAGGCCUUCGGGUUGUAAAGUUCUUUCGGUAUUGAGGAAGGGAUGUGUGCUAAUAGUACACAUCAUUGACGUUAAAUACAGAAGAAGCACCGGCUAACUCCGUGCCAGCAGCCGCGGUAAUACGGAGGGUGCGAGCGUUAAUCGGAAUAACUGGGCGUAAAGGGCACGCAGGCGGUUAUUUAAGUGAGGUGUGAAAGCCCUGGGCUUAACCUAGGAAUUGCAUUUCAGACUGGGUAACUAGAGUACUUUAGGGAGGGGUAGAAUUCCACGUGUAGCGGUGAAAUGCGUAGAGAUGUGGAGGAAUACCGAAGGCGAAGGCAGCCCCUUGGGAAUGUACUGACGCUCAUGUGCGAAAGCGUGGGGAGCAAACAGG